CUUCUCCAAAGCAGCUUUAUGUUCAGCAUCCUUUUUAGCUUUAGACUUUGCUUUUGCAGCUGUUGACAAAACAGCGGUGGGCAUCUUGAUAGCUGAAGUCGAAGUGGGAGGUGCGGUUGGGCGGGGGUAUUCAAAUAGGGAAGGCUUUGCAUUUGAUAAGAACUCAAAUUUUGGAACUUUCAGAUCAUAGUUAAGUCCAAUAAAGGCAGUUGGGGAGAACGCGAGGCUUAUAAAAUAGAGAAGGGGAUACCAAUACCAGAACUGGCUGAAAACUGCAAGCCCAACAACAGCUGUGAUUUUAUCAUGCUUAGUUUUAGAAAGCAGUUUAAUAGUUACAUUCCUUCCACCAGCAUCAAGAAUUCCA
rnacentral:lncRNA from 1 species